GCAGAUUAUAUAACUUAAAAGUCUAGCAGAAGUGAUUUAUGUCAUGAAAUGGAAAUUUCCAACCAACAGGAAUUACUCCUUAAUGUUUAGGAGUAGAAGCAGUUUAUAUACCAUCCAGUUUUUCCCUUGGCUAUCAUUGCUCAAACAAAUUAUUAAUCAUUAUUAAGUCAUCAUUCUCUCAGAUGUGCUAUCCCUCAAGAAUCUAACACUAAUAAUCUAUAUUAGAGAAAAAUGACUGGCAUAUUCAAUCCAAAACACAAAGGUCAAAAUCCUUCAGAACUCAAAUAUAGCAUAAUUUUGGCAAAAGAUUAAUUUCUUUUUUUUUUUAAACAAGUCAAAGAAGCACCCCACAUCCAACUACCAUAAUCAACAUUAAGAAUAUGUAUGUGGGUAAUGAAAUUAAAAACAGCAGCUUCAUCAAUUUCAAAAUGGAAACUAGGCCUGUUAAUUCUUUUGCUGUGAAUUUUGCAUUAAUGAAUACUAAAACAAAAGCAAAUCUGCACAUGCUAGA
rnacentral:misc_RNA from 1 species